rnacentral:rRNA from 1 species
AUUGAACGCUGGCGGCAGGCCUAACACAUGCAAGUCGAACGAGUGGCGGACGGGUGAGCAAUUUCUGGGAAACUGCCUGAUGGAGGGGGAUAACUACUGGAAACGGUAGCUAAUACCGCAUACCAUCCUAUGUGUCCAGAUGGGAUUAGCUAGUUGGGGGGGUAACGGCUCACCAAGGCGACGAUCCCUAGCUGGUCUGAGAGGAUGACCAGCCACACUGGAACUGAGACACGGUCCAGACUCCUACGGGAGGCAGCAGUGGGGAAUAUUGCACAAUGGGCGAAAGCCUGAUGCAGCCAUGCCGCGUGUAUGAAGAAGGUCUUCGGGUUGUAAAGUACUUUCGGCGGGGAGGCGUUACCCGAAGAAGAAGCACCGGCUAACUCCGUGCCAGCAGCCGCGGUAAUAC